rnacentral:rRNA from 1 species
GACGAACGCUGGCGGCGUGCUUAACACAUGCAAGUCGAACGGAAAGGCCCUGCUUUUGUGGGGUGCUCGAGUGGCGAACGGGUGAGUAACACGUGAGUAACCUGCCCUUGACUUUGGGAUAACUUCAGGAAACUGGGGCUAAUACCGGAUAGGAGCUCCUGCUGCAUGGUGGGGGUUGGAAAGUUUCGGCGGUUGGGGAUGGACUCGCGGCUUAUCAGCUUGUUGGUGGGGUAGUGGCUUACCAAGGCUUUGACGGGUAGCCGGCCUGAGAGGGUGACCGGCGACAUUGGGACUGAGAUACGGCCCAGACUCCUACGGGAGGCAGCAGUGGGGAAUAUUGCACAAUGGGCGGAAGCCUGAUGCAGCAACGCCGCGUGCGGGAUGACGGCCUUCGGGUUGUAAACCGCUUUCGCCUGUGACGAAGCGUGAGUGGCGGUAAUGGGUAAAGAAGCACCGGCUAACUACGUG